AUUGAACGCUGGCGGCAGGCCUAACACAUGCAAGUCGAACGAGUGGCGGACGGGUGAGUAAUGUCUGGGAAACUGCCUGAUGGAGGGGGAUAACUACUGGAAACGGUAGCUAAUACCGCAUACCAUCGGAUGUUCCCAGAUGGGAUUAGCUAGUAGGUGGGGUAAAGGCUCACCUAGGCGACGAUCCCUAGCUGGUCUGAGAGGAGGACCAGCCACACUGGAAUUGAGAAAAGGUCCAGACGCCUACGGGAGGAAGCAGUGGGGAAUAUUGCACAAUGGGCGAAAGCCUGAUGCAGCCAUGCAGCGUGUAUGAAGAAGGCCUUCGGGUUGUAAAGUACUGUCAGCGGGGAGGCGUUACCCGCAGAAGAAGCACCGGCGAACACCGUGCCAGCAGCCGCGGUAAUG
rnacentral:rRNA from 1 species